AGUGAACGCUGGCGGUAGGCCUAACACAUGCAAGUCGAACGGCAGCACAGUAAGAGCUUGCUCUUACGGGUGGCGAGUGGCGGACGGGUGAGGAAUACAUCGGAAUCUACUUUUUCGUGGGGGAUAACGUAGGGAAACUUACGCUACUACCGCAUACGACCUACGGGUGAAAGCAGGGGAUCUUCGGACCUUGCGCGAUUGAAUGAGCCGAUGUCGGAUUAGCUAGUUGGCGGGGUAAAGGCCCACCAAGGCGACGAUCCGUAGCUGGUCUGAGAGGAUGAUCAGCCACACUGGAGCUGAGACACGGUCCAGACUCCUACGGGAGGCAGCAGUGGGGAAUAUUGGACAGUGGGCGCAAGCCUGAUCCAGCCAUACUGCGUGGGUGAAGAAGGCCUUCGGGUUGUAAAGCCCUUUUGUUGGGAAAGAAAAGCAGCAGGUUAAUACCCCGCUGUUCUGACGGUACCCAAAGAAUAAGCACCGGCUAACUUCGUG
rnacentral:rRNA from 1 species